CCCUCAAAGUGACGUAGCCUAUAAUUUACAAACCACUUCGAUAGCUAGGCUUCGUAGCAAAGAGGCGGGCUACAGUUAGCUAAACAGACAGCAAAGAGGGCUGGCACUUCAAGGUGUGUUUCAUGGAUUUAAUAACAUUCCACACUGAUUCCGCUCCAUGCAUUACCAUGAGCCCGUCCUCCUCAAAUGUGCCACCAGCCUCCUGUGACAAAGUGAUUGACUAGCUUCCUUCCUUUAAUACCGUAGCCACCACCAGAGUGAGCUCCAGUGAUGGCAUGUAAGAGCGAGUUGAGGUUCUGCUGCAUUGUGGAACAUUGAACCAUAGAGAUGAGGAGGGAGGCCAACAGAAGAAGGUGCCAAAACAUUUCAGUGUCACCGCUGUCAUGCUGCGGGACACAUCUAAACUGACAUCUAAAUGCUUCCACGACAGAGAUGUGUGCAUGUGGAUGGGAGGUCUGAUUUUUCAGUAACAGGCAGAGGGGCAACUCAGAGCAGAGCAUUUAAAGAGUAUUACAGCCCUAUCAGGUCAAUCUCAUUUCAUUUGUAUCAAUAAGGUUUAUGUGAUUUGUCUCCCUUGAUAAAGGAUUUUUAAAA